CCUACGGGGGGCAGCAGUGGGGAAUAUUGGGCAAUGGGCGCAAGCCUGACCCAGCAACGCCGCGUGAAGGAAGAAGGCUUUCGGGUUGUAAACUUCUUUUCUCAGGGACGAAGCAAGUGACGGUACCUGAGGAAUAAGCCACGGCUAACUACGUGCCAGCAGCCGCGGUAAUACGUAGGUGGCAAGCGUUAUCCGGAUUUACGGGGUGUAAAGGGCGGGUAGGCGGGACUGCAAGUCAGAUGUGAAAACCACGGGCUCCACCGGUGGCCUGCAUUUGAAACGGUAGUUCUUGAGUACUGGAGAGGCAGACGGAAUUCCUAGUGUAGCGGUGAAAUGCGUAGAUAUUAGGAGGACCACCAGUGGCGAAGGCGGUCUGCUGGACAGCAACUGACGCUGAGGCGCGAAAGCGUGGGGAGCAAACAGGAUUAGAUACCCGUGUAGUC
rnacentral:rRNA from 1 species